rnacentral:rRNA from 1 species
GACGAACCGUGCAAACGUUAUUCGGAAUCACUGGGCAUAAAGGGCGCGUAGGCGGCCCGCUAAGUCGAACGUGAAAUCCCCGAGCUCAACUCGGGAACUGCGUCCGAUACUGGAGGGCUUGAAUCCGGGAGAGGGAUGCGGAAUUCCAGGUGUAGCGGUGAAAUGCGUAGAUAUCUGGAGGAACACCGGUGGCGAAGGCGGCAUCCUGGACCGGCAUUGACGCUGAGGCGCGAAAGCUAGGGGAGCAAACGGG